rnacentral:lncRNA from 1 species
CGGCUUUCCUCUGCACGCGAAAGGCUGUCCCACUCAGCGCGCACUCGACGUGACCGUUAUUCUAUUGCGCAAGACACGGGACAGUCCGGGCUCUGAAAAUAAAUCCACACAACAACCCGGUGAACGUUAAACCUCGGCUGACAUCGUUAAAGAAAUAACGGGACCGGGCCCACGGCACUGCAUUUCAGCACGCGGACAGAAACAUACAGACAGACAGAGACAGACAGACAAACCGGGUUCAGGCAUCGGGACUCACGCGCUGCAUGCGAGCACUGUACGCCGCCUCCGCGCACAGAAUGCAGCAUCCCCUGACGGGAGGAACGUGCGUGGCGAUGCCCAACGUAGACAUGUGUCCUCAACUGUCCUGCGCUGCUCUCACCUUUAUGUACCUCCAGCAGUCAUGGAAAGAGGAGACCAGCAGCAGCGGAUAAUGCAGUCCCUGUCCAUGAGGAGGAGGACGCUGACGACAGAUGAGCUGGGGGUCAUUGCUGCGGAAGGCCUGUAGGAAGACGAGGACCAUGAAAGCCUUCAUAGAGGAAGAUGUCCUUGUGCUGAGCUACUGGGAGGCCGUAGAGGAAGAUGCCCUUGAUGCUACUGGAGACCAUAGAGGAAGAUGCCCUUGAUGCUACUGAGAGGCCAUAGAGGAAGAUGUCCUUGAUGCUACUGGGAGGCCAUAGAGGAAGAUGCCCUUGAUGCUACUGGGAGGCCAUAGAGGAAGAUGCCCUUGAUGCUACUGGGAGACCAUAGAGGAAGAUGUCCUUGAUGCUGAUGCUACUGGGAGGCCAUAGAGGAAGAUGUCCUUGAUGCUGAUGCUACUGGGAGGCCAUAGAGGAAGAUGCCCUUGAUGCUGAUGCUACUGGGAGGCCAUAGAGGAAGAUGUCCUUGAUGCUACUGAGAGGCCAUAGAAGAAGAUGUCCUUGGUGCUACUGGAAGUUCAUAGAGGAAGAUGUCCUUGGUGCUACUGGGAGUUCAUAGAGGAAGAUGCCCUUGAUGAUACUGGGAGGCCAUAGAGGAAGAUGUCCUUGAUGCUACUGAGAGGCCAUAGAGGAAGAUGCCCUUGAUGAUACUGGGAGACCAUAGAGGAAGAUGUCCUUGAUGCUACUGAGAGGCCAUAGAAGAAGAUGUCCUUGGUGCUACUGGGAGUUCAUAGAGGAAGAUGCCCUUGAUGCUGAUGAUACUGGGAGGCCAUAGAGGAAUAUGUCCUUGAUGCUACUGAGAGGCCAUAGAAGAAGAUGUCCUUGGUGCUACUGGGAGUUCAUAGAGGAGGUAUUGAUGUUUGUGAUAUCUCCGGUAUCCAUCUUGUGACAGAUUUUUGUCUGUGAAAACUGUAAGCUCAUCUUUUUACACACAACAGGACCCAGUUUGUUUGUAUGGCAGCUGAAUGCGAGGGGAAAAAAAUGUUUUACAUCGUAGAGUUCUGAAAUUGUUUUAGGUGGAGACUCAUUGCGGAAAUAGGCACUAGUAAAAGGGACUCAGAUGUAGCUCAGAUGUUCACUAGUAAUUUUACCUCUCCUGCAUGUCCCCCUUCUCCUUCAUGCCCCCCUUCUCCUCCAUGUCCCCCUUCUCCUUCAUGCCCCCCUUCUCCUCCAUGUCCCCCUUCUCCUCCUUGUCCCCCUUCUCCUGCAUCACCCCCUUCUCCUCCAUCACCCCCCUUCUCCUGCAUGUCCCCCUUCUCCUCCAUGUCCCCCUUCUCCUGCAUGCCCCCCUUCUCCUCCAUAUCCCCCUUCUCCUGCAUGUCCCCCUUCUCCUCCAUAUCUCCCUUCUCCUCCAUGUCUCCCUUCUCCUGCAUGUCCCCCUUCUCCUGCAUGCACCCCUUCUCCUGCAUGUCCCCCUUCUCCUCCAUGCACCCCUUCUCCUCCAUGUCCCCCUUCUCCUCCAUGUCCCCCUUGCAUUUUUUCCCUGUCUUAUCCAAGACAUCCUGCAUGCCAUCCUCCCUUUAUGUGUGAGUCAUGACUAACAGCCUUGGGGAUGUAAAGGACUUGUAAAUGUGAUGACUGUAAAAUAACGUUGUUCUUUUGGAAUUGUUCCUGUUCUGACUCUGUAAUAGACUAUAUACAAAGCUGAAUAUAAUAAUGGAAGUUGUAAAAGUUAAUAAUUGUUAUAUGCCUUCUUUAUUUCAUAUUUUGUAAUUCCAGUGUGAUUUUGAUGAAAUUAGCCCUGAAAUGAAUGUUCUAUAACAUUAUAGUGAUCUAAAUGUCUUCAUUGUCAGGUUUGCGAGAGACGAUGUAUACCCC